UAGACUUUAUUAAGUGACAGAAAGCGCUCAGUAAGGAGAGGGGACUCAAAAGUGGGUUGCCCUAGGGGAUUAAAAACCUCAUUUCUAGGGGUGUGUUUCUCAUUUGCAUCUUGCACAACCUUUUACUUCCUAGUUGCUUCCUGGUCCCAGUUCUUACUGCCCAGGUGCGUUCUUGUCCAUAGUUAUUCCAUCUUAAUUAUUAUGCAUAAGCACCACAGAAAGGCCCAGUGGGUAGUAGGGGUGGUGGUGGUGAAACCACAAUGCAGAUGUCAUGCUAAUGAUAUUAUAAUGAGCUUGAGUCAAGUUAAGGACAUUUAGUUGAUUUAUUACACCUGCGCCUAAGUUGGGACAGUCCCUUCUGAGCAAACAUUCUGGUAUAAGAGGAAGUUCUUAACCACAUUUCCAUCUGCUAGCUGCAUAACAGGGGCAAUGCAGGUGCAUUCCUGCAUGCAUUGUCUCUCUCAUGAAGCCCUACAUCUCCAUCGUACCACUUGCAUACAUAAAAAAGGCAACAAGACCAACCCUUCCUCAUUCUCCUCCUUCUCAACAUGAAGACAAGGAUGAGCACCUUGAUGAUGAUCCAUCUCCACUUAAUGAAGACUUGGUAGACACUUGUGCACUGUAUGAGUCCGUUUUCAUGCUCCUGAUAAAGACAUACCCCAGACUGAGAAGAAAAAGAGGUUUAAUUGGACUUACAGUUCCACAUGGCUGGAGAGGCCUCAGAGACAUGGUGGGAGGCAAAAAGCACUUCUUACAUAGCGGCAACAGGAGAAAAUGAGGAAGAAGCAAAAGCGGAAACGCUGAUAAACCCAUCAGAUCAGGGCUUCUGCAGUACUAUGCUGAACAGAAGAGGUGAAGGUAAGCAUCCUCAUCUUAUUCCUCAUCUUAUAGGAAAAGCUUUCACAUUUUCUCCAUUGAGGAUGAUGUUUAUUGUGGGCUUGUCAUACAUGAACUUUAUUAUGUUGAUGUACUUGCUUUCUAAACCUAGCUGUUGUGUGUUUUUAUCAUGAAAAGGUAUUGAAUUUUGUCAAAUACUUUUUUUGUAUUUAUUUACAUUAUCUUGUUAUUUUUAUCCUUCAUUCUAUUAAUGUGGUAUAUUGCAUUUGCUAAUUUGUAUAUGACGUUGAACCACCCUAAAGGUUCCUCAAAUAAAAACUUAGAACAAAUAAACAAAUUCAGUAAGGUUUCAGGAUACCAAAUCAAUGUACACAAAUCCACUGCAUUUCUAUUCACUAAAAGUAAAGCAUCUGAAAAGGAAAUUAAGAAAACAAUCCCAUGUACAAUGGCGUCAGAAAGAAUAAAAUGCUUGGUAAUAAACGUGACCAAGAAAGUGAAAUACUUGCUUCUUGAUAACUAUAAAACAUUGAUGAAAAAAAUUAAAGACACAAAUAAAUAAAAAACUUCCUCUGUGUUCAUGGAUUGAAUGACAAUAUUGAUCGGGUAUCCACACUAAACAAAGUAAUCUACAGAUUUAAAUUUAUUGCCAUCAAAUUCCCAAUGGCAUUUUUUAAAAUAUAAAAGCAAUUUGAAAUUCAUAUGGAACUACAAAAGAUCCAAAACACCCACAGAAAUCUUGAGACAGAGGAACAAAGCUGAAGGUAUCACACUUCCUGAUUUCAAAAUAUAUUAUAGAGCUACAGUAAUAAAACAGUAUGGUACAAGCAUAAAGACAAACAUAUAAACAAACAGAACAGAAUGGAGAGCCCAGAAAUAAACCCAUAUAUAUGGACAAGUGACCUGUGACACAGAUGCCAAGAAUACACAGUAGGGAAUGGAUACUCUCUUCAACAAAUGGCAUGAAGAAUAUCAGGUAUCAUGGAGUUUUCAGCCUUUUUGCGUGGGUUUUCCCUCAUGUUCAUGGAUUUAUC
rnacentral:lncRNA from 1 species